UACAGAGGGUGCAAGCGUUAAUCGGAAUUACUGGGCGUAAAGGGCGCGUAGGCGGUUUAAUAAGUUGGUUGUGAAAUCCCUGGGCUUAACCUAGGAACUGCAACCAAGACUGUUGAACUGGAGUGCGGUAGAGGGUAGUGGAAUUUCCGGUGUAGCGGUGAAAUGCGUAGAUAUCGGAAGGAACACCAGUGGCGAAGGCGACUACCUGGACUGACACUGACGCUGAGGCGCGAGAGCGUGGGGAGCAAACAGG
rnacentral:rRNA from 1 species